ACCGCUUUUAUUUACUGUUAUGAGAAUUGAAUUUGAAGAUUUUUUAUUUAUGACACUUAACAGCUAAAUCACCUAAUAUUUUUUUAGGCAAAAGAAAAAGAGGGAUGUUUCAUAACGGUGACUCAGGUCUUAUUGUGAAAAGUAUGUCAUGAAUGAGCUUUAUAAACUAAACCUCCUCCCUGUUUUGGUUAUUUAUAGAGUUGUCAGUCACUGGUGAGGAAGGGGAUGUUGACGAUGACACAGAGCUACCACCACCACCAUCACCACAGGCCUGCAGCUCGCCGGUACCAUCUGCCUCCGUGUCAUCACGGCAAGCCAGACGAGGAAAAAGACAGCGUGAAAAUGAGGAGCUGUUGGAGUACAUGGAGAAGGCUGACGAUAAGUUCUUGCAGCUCAACAAGGACAUGACAGCAAAGAUGGAGGCAGACACAAGUGCUCUGCUUGGGCUCAUGGGGCGCAUGGUGGCAGUGAUGGAGGCGCA